UUCCGGUUGAUCCUGCCGGACCUGACUGCUAUCGGAUUGAUACUAAGCCAUGCUAGUCUUUGUAGUAAUACAAGGCAUACGGCUCAGUAACGCGUAGUCAACCUACCCUAUGGACGGGGAUAAUCUCGGGAAACUGAGCAUAAUACCCGGUAGACCACUUAUCCUGGAAUGGUUAGUGGUUAAAAUGAUUCGUCGCCAUAGGAUGGGACUGCGGCCUAUCAGCUUGUUGGUGAGGUAAUGGCCCACCAAGGCGAUUACAGGUACGGGCUCUGAGAGGAGAGGCCCGGAGAUGGGUACUGAGACAAGGACCCAGGCCCUAUGGGGCGCAGCAGGCGAGAAAACUUUGCAAUGUGCGAAAGCACGACAAGGUUAAUCCGAGUGAUUUCUGCUAAAGGAAUCUUUUGUUAGUUCUAAAAAUACUAGUGAAUAAGGGGUGGGCAAGUUCUGGUGUCAGCCGCCGCGGUAAAACCAGCACCUCAAGUGGUCAGGAGGAUUAUUGGGCCUAAAGCAUCCGUAGCCUGUUCUAUAAGUUUGCGGUUAAAUCUAUACGCUCAACGUAUAGGCUGCCGUAAAUACUGUAGAACUAGGGAGUGGGAGAGGUAGACGGUACUCAGUAGGAAGGGGUAAAAUCCUUUGAUCUAUUGAUGACCACCUGUGGCGAAGGCGGUCUACCAGAACACGUUCGACGGUGAGGGAUGAAAGCUGGGGGAGCAAACCGGAUUAGAUACCCGGGUAGUCCCAGCUGUAAACGAUGCAGACUCGAUGAUGCAAUGGCAUAGAGCUAUUGCAGUAUCGCAGGGAAGCCGUUAAGUCUGCCGCCUGGGAAGUACGUACGCAAGUAUGAAACUUAAAGGAAUUGGCGGGGGAGCACCACAAGGGGUGAAGCCUGCGGUUCAAUUGGAGUCAACGCCGGG
rnacentral:rRNA from 1 species